GACGAACGCUGGCGGCGUGCCUAAUACAUGCAAGUAGAACGCUGAAGAGAGGAGCUUACUCUUCUUGGAUGAGUUGCGAACGGGUGAGUAACGCGUAGGUAACCUGCCUUGUAGCGGGGGAUAACUAUUGGAAACGAUAGCUAAUACCGCAUAACAAUGGAUGACACAUGUCAUUUAUUUGAAAGGGGCAAUUGCUCCACUACAAGAUGGACCUGCGUUGUAUUAGCUAGUAGGUGAGGUAAUGGCUCACCUAGGCGACGAUACAUAGCCGACCUGAGAGGGUGAUCGGCCACACUGGGACUGGGACACGGCCCAGACUCCUACGGGAGGCAGCAGUAGGGAAUCUUCGGCAAUGGGGGCAACCCUGACCGAGCAACGCCGCGUGAGUGAAGAAGGUUGUCGGAUCGUAAAGCUCUGUUGUAAGUCAAGAACGGGUGUGAGAGUGGAAAGUUCACACUGUGACGGUAGCUUACCAGAAAGGUACGGCUAACUACGUG
rnacentral:rRNA from 1 species